UACGUUCUGAAAAAAUAAAAAUAAUAUUCACAAAAAGUCUUUUACUCUUGCUAAAGCAGCUGUUAAAAGACAAACAUAUAUAUUAAUUAUACACAAAUAUUUUCCAGUCAUGUUAUACCUAUGGAUCAAACUUCUCAUUCAAUCGAAUCCGAGCCUACCUAUCAUCCCCAAUAUCUCCUGUUUUUAUCAAACAUGAUUCCAAAGUAGACACGAUUUGAAAAUACAAAUAAUUACGUAUCUACUAUAUCAUAAACAUUUACCUAUAGCGACCAAAGCUACCAUCCAAGAAAUAUCCAUGCCUGUCUACGUUCUCACCACUACCUCCUAUAUCCAACACUAACAAUUCCGCAAACCAGCUGACCGAACAAACGCGCACGUAUCGUUAGAUAACCGCAAAAAGAAGGGGCUACGUGAAAGGACUCCUGCUCGGCUGAUCUCCUGGAAGCACCGUUCGUUUAUCCGCUUGCCGUCGUUUCGCCGUACGGAGGCGAACUCGUUGCCAGGCAGCGCUGAACGGGCUCUCGAGUUCUUUCCAGGUUUAUCCAGGUAGAGACCAACGACAAGAGAGUGUCUCAACAUGUCCUAUCUCCCCCUUCCUUCUUUUUUCUUUUCUAGCUUCAUCCUCCAAGUACCAAGUUCGUUAUGGUAUAAUCAAGACAUUCGACGACGACGACGACGACAACAACGACGACGACGACGACGACGACUACGACUACGACGACGACGACUACGACCAUGAUGAUAAUGAUGAUGAUGAUGAUGAUAAUGAUGAUGAUGAUGAUGAUGAUGAUGAUGAUGAUGAUGAUGAUGAUGAUGAUGAUGAUGAUAAUGAGAAAACAAUGACGAUUUCUAGCGUAAAGUCAAAGAAAUUGUUCUUUUGUGUCCUCCAACUUCGAAACCGGUACGGUCAAACGACAUAUGGGAUGAUGAACCGCUUUUUAUCACGUUUCAUGCAUUUACGAAAAGACUACCUAGUUUUAUUUUCAAUGAUCAUUUUGUCUUGUUAAUUAUGUGGACAUACUACAGAAUCAUCGAUUAAAGAAAUAAUUCUGGAUGGAUUUAUUUUACUAAAAGAUUGACGAAUUGACUAUUUUUUUUCUUUUUUUUUUGGACUACCAUGCAGACCUUCGUUUUUUAUCAUUUCUAUCAUUUGUGAAAGGUCGGAAAUAAAUUCGAUGGGUUGA